GACGAACGCUGGCGGCGUGCCUAAUACAUGCAAGUAGGACGCAGUUGCGAACGGGUGAGUAACGCGUAGGUAAAUGCCUAUUAGAGGGGGAUAACUAUUGGAAACGAUAGCUAAUACCGCAUACUAGUAGAUGGACCUGCGUUGUAUUAGUUAGUAGGUAGGGUAAUGGCCUACCUAGGUGACGAAACAUAGCCGACCUGGGGGGGGGAACGGCCACAAUGGGGCUGGGGCACGGCCCAGGACCCUUAGGGGGGCAACAAGAGGGGAACUUUGGCAAAGGGGGGAAAGCUGACCGAGCAACGGCGCGGGAGUGGAGAAGGUUUUCGGAUCGGAAAGCUCUGUUGUUAAGGAAGCGGUACUUAACCAGAAAGGGACGGCUAACUACGUGCCAGCAGCCGCGGUAAUUC
rnacentral:rRNA from 1 species